rnacentral:rRNA from 1 species
GACGAACGCUGGCGGCGUGCUUAACACAUGCAAGUCGAGCGGUAAGGCCCUUUCGGGGGUACACGAGCGGCGAACGGGUGAGUAACACGUGGGUGACCUGCCUUUAGCUCUGGGAUAAGCCUGGGAAACCGGGUCUAAUACCGGAUAUGACUCCGCGGCGCAUGUUGUGGGGUGGAAAGCCUUGUGCGGCUGGAGAUGGGCCCGCGGCCUAUCAGCCUGUUGGUGGGGUGAUGGCCUACCAAGGCGACGACGGGUAGCCGGCCUGAGAGGGCGACCGGCCACACUGGGACUGAGAUACGGCCCAGACUCCUACGGGAGGCAGCAGUGGGGAAUCUUGCGCAAUGGGCGAAAGCCUGACGCAGCGACGCCGCGUGA